rnacentral:lncRNA from 1 species
AUUUUAAUUGCAUACCUACAUGGAAUGUGGCAUUUUUUGUUUAAUGGGAGCAAUUAUAAAACUAGAAGGCAAUAAUAUGUCCUAACUUUUAAAGUUUGGGAGUCACUAUAUUAAUCAUGUAAUUAUACAUGGGUGAAAUAAGUAAAAGUGUUCAGAAAGAAACUCAGAUGCAUUCUUCAAAGACCACCAAUAGCAUUUUAAGUUAAGUAAUAUACUUUGUAUGUGGAUAUGAUCGCAGUUUUGCAAAAUCAUAAAGAAGCUGUAUGUUAAGCUAAGGAUCUAAUUAAUAGAUUUGUAAAUUAUCAACCAAGAACACACACUGAACACACCUCACCCUGGCACCCAAAAUUUGAAACUGUGUGAAAACA